UACGUAGGGGGCAAGCGUUAUCCGGAUUUACUGGGUGUAAAGGGAGCGUAGGCGGCCAUGCAAGUCAGGUGUGAAAGCCCGGGGCUUAACCCCGGGACUGCACUUGAAACUGUGUGGCUGGAGUACGGGAGAGGCAGGCGGAAUUCCUAGUGUAGCGGUGAAAUGCGUAGAUAUUAGGAAGAACACCGGUGGCGAAGGCGGCCUGCUGGACCGAGACUGACGCUGAGGCUCGAAAGCGUGGGGAG
rnacentral:rRNA from 1 species